AUUGAACGCUGGCGGCAUGCCAAACACAUGUAAGUCGAACGGUAACGGGUCCUUCGGGCUGCCGAUGAGUGGCGAACGGGUGAGUAAUAUAUCGGAACGUGCCCAGUAGUGGGGGAUAACUGCUCGAAAGAGCAGCUAAUACCGCAUACGACCUGAGGGUGAAGCGGGGGGAUGGCAAGAGCUCUCGCUAUUGGAGGGGCCGAUAUCAGAUUAGCUAGUUGGUUGGGUAAAGGCUCACCAAGGCGACGAUCGAUAGCUGGUGUGAGAGGAUGAUCAGCCACACUGGAACUGAGACACGGUCCAGACUCCUACGGGAGGCAGCAGUGGGGAAUUUUGGACAAUGGGGGCAACCCUGAUCCAGCCAUUCCGCGUGAGUGAAGAAGGCCUUCGGGUUGUAAAGCUCUUUCGGCCGGGAAGAAAUCGCAUGGGUUAAUACCCUGUGCGGAUGACGGUACCGGCAUAAGAAGCACCGGCUAACUACGUGCCAGCAGCCGCCGUAA
rnacentral:rRNA from 1 species